rnacentral:rRNA from 1 species
GGUAGUCCACGCCGUAAACGAUGUCGACUUGGAGGUUGUGCCCUUGAGGCGUGGCUUCCGGAGCUAACGCGUUAAGUCGACCGCCUGGGGAGUACGGCCGCAAGGUUAAAACUCAAAUGAAUUGACGGGGGCCCGCACAAGCGGUGGAGCAUGUGGUUUAAUUCGAUGCAACGCGAAGAACCUUACCUACUCUUGACAUCCAGAGAACUUAGCAGAGAUGCUUUGGUGCCUUCGGGAACUCUGAGACAGGUGCUGCAUGGCUGUCGUCAGCUCGUGUUGUGAAAUGUUGGGUUAAGUCCCGCAACGAGCGCAACCCUUAUCCUUUGUUGCCAGCGGUUAGGCCGGGAACUCAAAGGAGACUGCCAGUGAUAAACUGGAGGAAGGUGGGGAUGACGUCAAGUCAUCAUGGCCCUGACGAGUAGGGCUACACACGUGCUACAAUGGCGCAUACAAAGAGAAGCGACCUCGCGAGAGCAAGCGGACCUCAUAAAGUGCGUCGUAGUCCGGAUUGGAGUCUGCAACUCGACUCCAUGAAGUCGGAAUCGCUAGUAAUCGUAGAUCAGAAUGCUACGGUGAAUACGUUCCCGGGCCUUGUACACACCGCCCGUCACACCAUGGGAGUGGGUUGCAAAAGAAGUAGGUAGCUUAACCUUCGGGAGGGCGCUUACCACUUUGUGAUUCAUGACUGGGGUGAAGUCGUAACAAGGUAACCGUAGGGGAACCUGC